AAGGGCAUAGCUCAAAUGAUAGAGCACAUGCUUAGCAUGUGUGGGGUCCUGGGUUUAAUCCCCAGUACCUCCA
rfam:Camelus ferus unplaced genomic scaffold scaffold876, whole genome shotgun sequence.